rnacentral:rRNA from 1 species
CUCCUGGAAACGGGUGGUAAUGCCGGAUGCUCCGGUUGGAUGCAUGUCCUUCCGGGAAAGAUUUCAUCGGUAUGGGAUGGGGUCGCGUCCUAUCAGGUAGUCGGCGGGGUAACGGCCCACCGAGCCUACGACGGGUAGCCGGCCUGAGAGGGCGACCGGCCACAUUGGGACUGAGAUACGGCCCAGACUCCUACGGGAGGCAGCAGUGGGGAAUAUUGCACAAUGGGCGCAAGCCUGAUGCAGCGACGCCGCGUGCGGGAUGACGGCCUUCGGGUUGUAAACCGCUUUUGAUCGGGAGCAAGCCUUCGGGUGAGUGUACCUUUCGAAUAAGCACCGGCUAACUACGUGCCAGCAGCCGCGGUAAUACGUAGGGUGCAAGCGUUAUCCGGAAUUAUUGGGCGUAAAGGGCUCGUAAGCGGUUCGUCGCGUCCGGUGUGAAAGUCCAUCGCUUAACAGUGGAUCCGCGCCGGGUACGGGCGGGCUUGAGUGCGGUAGGGGAGACCGGAAUUCCCGGUGUAACGGUGGAAUGUGUAGAUAUCGGGAAGAACACCAAU